AAGUGUUCAAAGUUCCUAUUGGUUUUAGUGUUGUUAGCUGGUGUUUUAUUGGUCAGUUCUUUUUCCCUCCAAAAGUUCUUGGUGGUGUUCAGUCAUUCUUUGUCUAGUUGGUUGAUAGAGAAGUUGGUAAAAAUAUAUGACAGAUAUUUGAUUGUUGACUGAUCAUUUCUUUAACAAGGUAAGCUUAUUUUCUAACUUUUAUAUUAUUUCUAAAUUGCAGUAAACGUAAUAAUUUGGUAGAUUUAAUUCCAUAGCACUUGCACAGUGAGAAAGAUAUUUUGUGAGGCAUAAAUCAGUUAGCUUGAAAUAAGUUAAAUUUAUGUGUUUCACAGAUUUGGUAUAUUUUUAAAUACAUGUUUGAUAUUUUUAUGAUGCAAGUUUAUUUAUGUAAACUUCAUAAUUUACAGUCAAUCUCCAUGGACGUUUUUGUUAAAUGAGGGAUUAUUGCCACAUCACUUAUUCCCAUAGAAUGAGUGUCAUACACAUACAUAUACAUGUAUAUCUAAAGCUUAGAUUCUGGCAAUAAAAUGGAGGUGAUCGACAUCUAAGAACCCAUACAGGACUUUGUUGUUUAAUUCGACAGAAACCCUGUUACAAUAAUGUUGAUUUUUGUAGUCUUUUCUCUGAUGUACAUAAUCCGAUUUCAUUUACAUUUUCCACUUGUAAGAAAACAAUCGAAAAUAGAAAUACAGGUGAGAAUCAACCAAGUGUAAAAUUGUGGUGUGCGGAUAAAGCAGACGAUUUCCGACGCAACAUUGACCUACCUGCGGUGGUCUCUAUUGAAAAUGAGCUAGAUCAGUUAUCACUGUGUCCAGAACGUAUUUGCAGAGACAAUGUUAACAAAGUAGCCAAGGACAUUUGUAAUGUUUUUGUAAAUUUAGCAAUGGAAUUUUGGUUUUAGAAAGGAAGGUGAAUGCAUUUCUAUAGAAAAUAAAA